rnacentral:rRNA from 1 species
CUCCUUCUAAAGCUAAAUACGACCAUGAGACCGAUAGUAAACAAGUACCGUGUGGGAAAGUUGAAAAGCACUCUGAAUAGAGAGUCAAAUAGUACGUGAAACUGCCGAGGGUGUAAAGCCUGUUGAACUCGAUUAUCCGUAGUUCCUGGCAUCGUGGGUUUUGGCUGUCACGCAGAAGGGGGCCUUCUGUAUGCCUUGACCCUAGCCAGGAACGAGUGCGGACAUCGUGAUCCAUUACGCAAACCAAAUGCGAGCGGCGACUCCGGUUGCUGCGAGCAUAUCCAACAUCAGGUCCCAGAACAUGCGGUCGACCCUCUAGUAGUGGCGCUCAGCUUAAGGCCGGCGUCGCGAACGGGGGAUCGAGGCUCCGGUCUCGAGUUCGGCUAGUUCCGGUGUGCCGUUGGAUGCGUGAUGGGCAUUGAAGUGAACUAGAGAAGUGUGAAGCGCAUGUUUGGGCAUGUUCAAGGGCGAAAGCCUGAGCCGAGCACGACUCUGGAUCUACGAUGUACUAACUAAUCGAGGUACCUACGGGACCCGUCUU